rnacentral:rRNA from 1 species
CCUACGGGUGGCUGCAGUGGGGAAUUUUCCGCAAUGGGCGAAAGCCUGACGGAGCAAUACCGCGUGAGGGAUGACGGCCUAUGGGUUGUAAACCUCUUUUUUCAGGGAGGAAUCAAUGACGUGUACCUGAGGAAUAAGCAUCGGCUAACUCCGUGCCAGCAGCCGCGGUAAGACGGAGGAUGCAAGUGUUAUCCGGAAUCACUGGGCGUAAAGCGUCUGUAGGUGGUCAAAUAAGUCAACUGUUAAAUCUUGAGGCUCAACCUCAAAAUCGCAGUCGAAACUAUUCGACUAGAGUAUAGUAGGGGUAAAGGGAAUUUCCAGUGGAGCGGUGAAAUGCGUAGAGAUUGGAAAGAACACCGAUGGCGAAGGCACUUUACUGGGCUAUUACUAACACUGAGAGACGAAAGCUAGGGUAGCAAAUGGGAUUAGAUACCCUAGUAGUC